rnacentral:rRNA from 1 species
CCUACGGGAGGCAGCAGUGAGGAAUAUUGGUCAAUGGCCGGAAGGCUGAACCAGCCAAGCCGCGUGAAGGACGAAGGUGCCAAGCAUUGUAAACUUCUUUUGUCAAGGGACAAAAUCAGGCUUGAGAGCCUGACCGAGGGUACUUGAAGAAAAAGCAUCGGCUAACCCCGUGCCAGCAGCCGCGGUAAGAGGGGGGAUGCGAGCGUUAUCCGGAUUUAUGGGGUUAAAGGGGUGCGUGGCGGGACGGUUAAGUCAGCGGUAAAAGCCCGGGGCUCAACCCCGGCGAGCCGUUGAAACUGGCUGUCUUGAGAUGUCGAGAGGUGUGCAGAAUGCGCAGUGUAGCGGUGAAAUGCUUAGAUAUUGCGCAGAACACCGGUGGCGAAGGCGGCAUACCGGCGGCAAUCUGACGCUGAGGCACGAAAGCGUGGGUAUCGAACAGGAUUAGAUACCCCAGUAGUC